rnacentral:misc_RNA from 1 species
GAUGAAGAACGUAGCAAAAUGCGAUACUUGGUGUGAAUUGCAGAAUCCCGUGAACCAUCGAGUUUUUGAACGCAAGUUGCGCCCGAAGCCUUUUGGCCGAGGGCACGUCUGCCUGGGCGUCACGCAUCGCGUCGCCCCCCACAAUUCUCCGUAAAGGGAACAUGUGUUUUGGGGGCGGAUAUUGGUCUCCCGUGCUCAUGGCGUGGUUGGCCGAAAUAGGAGUCCUUUCGAUGGACGCACGAACUAGUGGUGGUCGUAAACACCCUCGUCUUUUGUUUCGUGCUGUUGCUCGCAAGGUAAACUCUUUAAAAACCCCAAUGUGUCGUCUCUUGACGACGCUUCGACCGCGACCCCAGGUCAGGCGGGACUACCCGCUGAGUUUAAGCAUAUCAAUAAGCGGAGGA